rnacentral:rRNA from 1 species
AUUGAACGCUGGCGGCAGGCCUAACACAUGCAAGUCGGGCGAGUGGCGGACGGGUGAGUAAUGUAUGGGAAUCUGCCUGAUGGCGGGGGAUAACUACUGGAAACGGUAGCUAAUACCGCAUACCAUCAGAUGAACCCAUAUGGGAUUGUCUUGUAGGUGGGGUAACGGCUCACCAAGGCGACGAUCCCUAGCUGGUCUGAGAGGAUGAACAGCCACACUGGAACUGAGACACGGCCCAGACUCCUACGGGAGGCAGCAGGGGGGAAUAUUGCACAAUGGGCGAAAGCCUGAUGCAGCCAUGCCGCGUGUAUGAAGAAGGCCUUAGGGUUGUAAAGUACUUUCAGCGGGGAGGCGUUACCCGCAGAAGAAGCACCGGCUAACUCCGUGCCAGCAGCCGCGGUAAUAC